rnacentral:rRNA from 1 species
UACGUAGGUGGCAAGCGUUGUCCGGAUUUACUGGGCGUAAAGAGCGCGCAGGCGGUCGUUCAAGUCGAGUGUGAAAGCCCCGGGCUCAACCUGGGAAUUGCAUUCGAGACUGCGUAGCUAGGGUGCGGAAGAGGGAAGCGGAAUUUCCGGUGUAGCGGUGAAAUGCGUAGAUAUCGGAAGGAACACCAGUGGCGAAAGCGGCUUCCUGGUCCAGCACCGACGUUCAGGCACGAAAGCGUGGGGAGCAAACAGG